rnacentral:rRNA from 1 species
UACUAGUAAUCGCAGAUCAGCACGCCGCGGUGAAUACGUUCCCGGGCCUUGUACACACCGCCCGUCACACCAUGGAAGUCUGCAAUGCCCGAAGCCGGUGGCCUAACCACUUAUGUGGAAGGAGCCGUCUAAGGCAGGGCAGAUGACUGGGGGUGAAGUCGUAACAAGGUAAC